rnacentral:lncRNA from 1 species
GAUUCCAUUUAGAUCUGUGACGUGGCUUGAUAGUUGAAGGGAGUUAAGAGUGGAAGGAGAGUGAAUGUCUUGCAGUAGAAAACACAGAUGAAGUGAGAGUGGAGGUGGAGGAAGGAUAAAAGAGGAAGAACGUGGAGAGACACAAGAGAACACGGGCUCUAGAGAAGAUAUGCUCCUUGCAGGAGUCUGUGCAGUCUCUGCGUGUGGUUCACUCCGAGGGCUGACUAUUUCAGGAACUGGAGCAUUACCACGGCCAUUGGCAACCAGAAAGCAGCUAGAGCUCAGGAGGGGUGGUGAGCUCCCCAAAGCACAAGGUCUUUUCUUCUUCAGAACUGUCUGGUGGACUGGCCAAGAAUGCUGACAGAGUACCUGUUCUACCUUCCUGGGCUGCCUGCCAAGGAUGCCCUUGGUCUGCCAGAAAAAAAGUAUUGCUGCUUUGCCCUGAUACACACAGAAGUCUAGAUUCCAUUCAUACCAAUAUCGGUCCUUCCUCCCCCACGAAGCAUGUGAGAUGCUCUCUCUCCAUCGCCAAGUUUCUUCUUUCUGCUGGUUUCUCUGGCAAAAAGGCAAGAGGCAAGAACUGAUGUGGGAAACAGUGGCAGAGAGUUAGAGAAAGCAAAAAGAAGAAGUGUUUUGCCCUGGUUCAGAGCACAAGAACAAAGACUACAAGACUUCAGAGUCACAGCUGGCUACAAACCCACCCCCUGCACCCAGUACCACUAGCUGGAGACACUGGAAGAUGCUCUUGUUAUUCUCGGAUCACCGCCUACCCCCAAACCCAUCCUCCCUGCUGCCUUACCUGAGAAGUUGAACCCCAGAGACAGAAAGGGUCACCUGCACUCCUUGUACUGGGCCUUCCCAUCGGCCAAUGUGUGGCAUGAACGAGGCUGCAUCCCUCUUCCAUAGCACCUGCACUUGUAGGCUCUGCAAAUUUCAUCCCCGCCUUUGGCCCUUCAGGCCUAGGGCAAGUCACAGCUCCCCAGGACUGUUCAUCCCCAGGUGUCUCGCCAUCCCUAGAUAGCACCUGUAAGCCUGACUACACCUCUGUAAAGCACGC